ACUUGUGGUACACUGCGUGACGA
rnacentral:siRNA from 1 species